rnacentral:rRNA from 1 species
GGGGGGCGCAGCUAACGCAUUAAGUUAUCCGCCUGGGGAGUACGGUCGCAAGGAUUAAAACUCAAAGGAAUUGACGGGGGCCUGCACAAGCGGUGGAGCAUGUGGUUUAAUUGGAAGCAACGCGCAGAACCUUACCAGCCUUUGACAUCCUAGGACGGUUUCUGGAGACAGACUCCUUCCCUUCGGGGACCUAGUGACAGGUGCUGCAUGGCUGUCGUCAGCUCGUGUCGUGAGAUGUUGGGUUAAGUCCCGCAACGAGCGCAACCCUCGUCCUUAGUUGCCAUCAUUUAGUUGGGCACUUUAAGGAAACUGCCGGUGAUAAGCCGGAGGAAGGUGGGGAUGACGUCAAGUCCUCAUGGCCCUUACAGGCUGGGCUACACACGUGCUACAAUGGCAUCUACAGUGGGCAGCUAUCCCGCAAGGGUGAGCUAAUCUCCAAAAGAUGUCUCAGUUCGGAUUGUCCUCUGCAACUCGAGGGCAUGAAGGCGGAAUCGCUAGUAAUCGCGGAUCAGCAUGCCGCGGUGAAUACGUUCCCAGGCCUUGUACACACCGCCCGUCACACCAUGGGAGUUGGAUUCACCCGAAGGCAGUGCGCUAACCGCAAGGA